CCUACGGGUGGCAGCAGUGGGGAAUAUUGGACAAUGGGCGAAAGCCUGAUCCAGCCAUGCCGCGUGUGUGAAGAAGGCCUUCGGGUUGUAAAGCACUUUCAGUGGGGAAGAAAGCCUUGGGGCUAAUACCCUCGAGGAAGGACAUCACCCACAGAAGAAGCACCGGCUAACUCCGUGCCAGCAGCCGCGGUAAUACGGAGGGUGCGAGCGUUAAUCGGAAUUACUGGGCGUAAAGCGCGCGUAGGCGGUCUGAUAAGCCGGUUGUGAAAGCCCCGGGCUCAACCUGGGAACGGCAUCCGGAACGGUCAGGCUAGAGUGCAGGAGAGGAAGGGAGAAUUCCCGGUGUAGCGGUGAAAUGCGUAGAGAUCGGGAGGAAUGCCAGUGGCGAAGGCGGCCUUCUGGACUGACACUGACGCUGAGGUGCGAAAGCGUGGGUAGCAAACAGGAUUAGAUACCCCGGUAGUC
rnacentral:rRNA from 1 species